rnacentral:rRNA from 1 species
AGCGAACGCUGGCGGCAGGCCUAACACAUGCAAGUCGUACGAACUCUUCGGAGUUAGUGGCGGACGGGUGAGUAACACGUGGGAACGUGCCUUUAGGUCCGGAAUAACUCAGGGAAACUUGUGCUAAUACCGAAUGUGCCCUUCGGGGGAAAGAUUUAUCGCCUUUAGAGCGGCCCGCGUCUGAUUAGCUUGUUGGUGGGGUAAUGGCCCACCAAGGCGACGAUCAGUAGCUGGUCUGAGAGGAUGACCAGCCACAUUGGGACUGAGACACGGCCCAAACUCCUACGGGAGGCAGCAGUGGGGAAUCUUGCGCAAUGGGCGAAAGCCUGACGCAGCCAUGCCGCGUGGAUGAUGAAGGUCUUAGGAUUGUAAAAUCCUUUCACCGGUGAAGAUAAUGACUGUAGCCGGAGAAGAAGCCCCGGCUAACUUCGUGCCAGCAGCCGCCGUAA